rnacentral:tRNA from 1 species
CGGAGCGUAGCGCAGCUUGGUAGCGCGCCAGUUUUGGGAACUGGAAGUCGGGUGUUCAAAUCACUCCGUUCCGACCA